rnacentral:rRNA from 1 species
AACGAACGCUGGCGGCAUGCCUAACACAUGCAAGUCGAACGAGACCUUCGGGUCUAGUGGCGCACGGGUGCGUAACGCGUGGGAAUCUGCCCUUGGGUUCGGAAUAACAGCGAGAAAUUGCUGCUAAUACCGGAUGAUGACGUAAGUCCAAAGAUUUAUCGCCCAAGGAUGAGCCCGCGUAGGAUUAGCUAGUUGGUGAGGUAAAGGCUCACCAAGGCGACGAUCCUUAGCUGGUACUGAGAGGAUGAUCAGCCACACUGGGACUGAGACACGGCCCAGACUCCUACGGGAGGCAGCAGUGGGGAAUAUUGGACAAUGGGCGAAAGCCUGAUCCAGCAAUGCCGCGUUGAGU